AGGUAAGUGCUGAUGCUGCUGCUUUGAGGGCCACACACCUUGAGGAGUAGGAAGAGUACUCAUACUGGAAGAGUAUUCAGCACGGACUGGAAUCCUGCAUACAUAUCUGAGCUCUGUGUUCUGUAGAGAUGGGGUUUCACCAUGUUGCCCAGGCUGGUCUCAAACUCCUGAGCUCAGGCCAUCUGCCCGCCUCGGCCUCCCAAAGUGCUAGGAUUACAGAAGGUGCCUGCUUCCCCUUCACCUUCCACCAUGAUUGUAAGUUUCCUGAGGCCUCCCCAGACAUGUGGAACUGUGAGUCAAUUAAAUCUCUUUUCUUUAUAAAUUACCCAGUCUCAGGUAGUAUCUUUAUAGCGGUAUAAAAACAGACUAAUACAAACAGGUAGCUCUAAAUUGUGAGUUUUUCUUAACUCCUUUGAUCUUCUGUGAUAGCGAUUUUUCACAUUUCACACUUCCCUAAUGCCAAAAAUCCACCUCCAGCAGCUGUUUUGCCUCUUUCUUAUCCUGCCCCUUGGAAGAAUGUCAUCAUUA
rnacentral:ncRNA from 2 species